AAACAAAAUAAAAAUUAGAUGGGAAUAUUGCUCAAGCCCUGGAGGUUGAGGCUGCAGUUAACUGUGAUUGCACCACUGCAGUCCAGCCUAGGUGAUAGAGCAAGACCCUUUCUCUAAAAAUAAAAUAAAAUAAAAAUUAACCUUCUAUCAUAUUUCCCAGUAACACCUUCCCUCCUACAUUUCUCCUAGAAGCCCUUAAAUUUUGUUUUUCACAUAUCGUUUAAAACUUCUAAGUGCUGAUGUCUGUCUGUGUCAUCCCUCUUUUUUUUUUUUUUUAAAUGUCUUUUUGUCACUUCUAGCUGGACCUACCAUGAAAGACUUCUGAAUCCAGGAAGAGAAACUGACUGGGCAACAUGUUAUUCAGAGACAGCGUCUUGCUCUGUUGCUUAGGCUACAGUACAGUGACAUGAUCAUGGUUCACUGUAGCCUCAAACUCCUGGGCUCAAGUGGUUCUCUCACUUCAGUCUCCCAAGUAGCUGGGACUACAGACAU
rnacentral:lncRNA from 10 species